rnacentral:rRNA from 1 species
ACAAGAUAUUUAAGAGUAGAUGGUGGAUGCCUUGGGUAGUAGAGGCGAUGAAGGACGUACUAGACUGCGAUAAGCUGCGUGGAGCUGUCAAGAAGCUUUGAGGCGCAGAUGUCCGAAUGGGGCAACCCAACUUACAGCAAUGUAAGUUACUCUAUUUAAGAGAGCGAACCUAGCGAAGUGAAACAUCUCAGUAGCUAGAGGAAAAGAAAUCAACGAGAUUCCCUGAGUAGUGGCGAGCGAAAGGGGAAGAGGGCAAACCGGGUGCUUGCACUCGGGGUUGAGGACGACAACAUUCAAGGGGUUUAUCUAGCAGAGUUACCUGGAAAGGUAAGCCAUAGAAGGUGAUAGCCCUGUAUGCGAAAGAUACACCCUAGAUAGUCGUAUCCAGAGUAGGCCAGGACACGUGAAAUCCGGGCUGAAGCCGGGGAGACCACUCUCCAACCCUAAAUACUACUACUACACCGAUAGCGCACAAGUACCGUGAGGGAAAGGUGAAAAGAACCGUGGGUAACGGAGUGAAAUAGAACCUGAAACCAUCUACUUACAAUCAUUCAGAGCCCUAUGAUUUAUCAGGGUGAUGGACUGCCUUUUGCAUAAUGAUCCUGCGAGUUGUGGUGUCUGGCAAGGUUAAGUGAAAACGAGCCGUAGCGAAAGCGAGUCUGAAUAGGGCGCUUUAGUCAGACGCUGCAGACCCGAAGCCAAGUGAUCUAUCCAUGGCCAAGUUGAAACGAGUGUAACAGCUUGUGGAGGACUGAACCCGUGCCCAUUGAAACGGGCUGGGAUGAGCUGUGGAUAGGGGUGAAAGGCCAAACAAACUUGGUGAUAGCUGGUUCUCUUCGAAAUAUAUUUAGGUAUAGCCUCAAGUCAUAACAAGAGGGGGUAGAGCUCUGAUUGGGCUAGGGCUGCUCGCCGCAGUACCAAACCCUGUCAAACUGCGAAUACCUUUUGUUGUAUCUUGGGAGUCAGGCGGUGGGUGAUAAAAUCAAUCGUCAAGAGGGAAACAACCCAGACUACCAACUAAGGUCCCCAAGUUCUAUUCUGAGUGGAAAAAGAUGUGUGGUUACUCAAACAACCAGGAGGUUGGCUUAGAAGCAGCCAUCCUUUAAAGAAAGCGUAACAGCUCACUGGUCUAGUGAUCAUGCGCUGAAAAUAUAACGGGGCUAAGAUAGACACCGAAGUUGUAGAUUGCUCUUUUAGAGCAGUGGUAGAAGAGCGUUCUGUGCAGCGUUGAAGGCAUACCGGUAAGGAGUGUUGGAGCGCACAGAAGUGAGCAUGCAGGAAUGAGUAGCGAUAAGAUACGUAAGAAUCGUAUCCGCCGUAAAUCUAAGGUUUCCUACGCGAUGUUCGUCAUCGUAGGGUUAGUCGGGUCCUAAGCCAAGUCCGAAAGGGGUAGGCGAUGGGAAAUAGGUUAAUAUUCCUAUACCAAUUAGGGUGUGCGAUGGGAGGACGCAUAAAGUUAGGUGAGCUAGCUGAUGGAAGUGCUAGUCGAAGGGUGUAGAUUGGGAGAGAGGCAAAUCCGCUCCUGUAUUUGAAACCUGACAGGCUCUCUAAGACCUUCGGGUCAAGGAGAGAAUCACUGAUACUAUCGUGCCAAGAAAAGUCUCUAAGUUUAGCCCUAAUUGUCCGUACCGCAAACCGACACAGGUAGAUGAGAUGAGUAUUCUAAGGCGCGUGGAAGAACUCUCUUUAAGGAACUCUGCAAACUAGCACCGUAAGUUCGCGAUAAGGUGUGCCUACGCAAGUAGGUCUCAGCAAAGAGUCCCUCCCGACUGUUUACCAAAAACACAGCACUUUGCCAACUCGUAAGAGGAAGUAUAAGGUGUGACGCCUGCCCGGUGCUCGAAGGUUAAGAGGAUGGGUUAGCUCGCAAGAGCGAAGCUUUGAAUUGAAGCCCGAGUAAACGGCGGCCGUAACUAUAACGGUCCUAAGGUAGCGAAAUUCCUUGUCGGUUAAAUACCGACCUGCAUGAAUGGCGUAACGAGAUGGGAGCUGUCUCAAAGAGAGAUCCAGUGAAAUUGUAGUGGAGGUGAAAAUUCCUCCUACCCGCAGCAAGACGGAAAGACCCCGUGGACCUUUACUACAGCUUAGCACUGCUAAUGGGAAUGCCAUGCGCAGGAUAGGUGGGAGGCUGUGAAGCAAGAGCUUUGGCUCUUGUGGAGCCAUCCUUGAGAUACCACCCUUGGCGUUUUUGUUAGCUAACUGGCUAGAGUUAUCCUCUAGCAGGACAAUGCUUGGUGGGUAGUUUGACUGGGGCGGUCGCCUCCUAAAAAGUAACGGAGGCUUACAAAGGUUAGCUCAUGGCGGUUGGAAAUCGCCAGUUGAGUGUAAUGGCACAAGCUAGCUUAACUGCAAGAGAGACAACUCAAGCAGAGACGAAAGUCGGUCAUAGUGAUCCGGUGGUUCUCGUGUGGGAGAGCCAUCGCUCAAAGGAUAAAAGGUACCCCGGGGAUAACAGGCUGAUCUCCCCCAAGAGCUCACAUCGACGGGGAGGUUUGGCACCUCGAUGUCGGCUCAUCGCAUCCUGGGGCUGGAGCAGGUCCCAAGGGUAUGGCUGUUCGCCAUUUAAAGCGGUACGCGAGCUGGGUUCAGAACGUCGUGAGACAGUUCGGUCCCUAUCUGCUGUGGGCGUAGGAAAGCUGAGGAGAGCUGUCCCUAGUACGAGAGGACCGGGAUGGACAUGCCACUGGUGCACCAGUUGUUCUGCCAAGAGCACCGCUGGGUAGCUACGCAUGGUUGUGAUAAGAGCUGAAAGCAUCUAAGCUCGAAGCCAACUCCAAGAUGAGCUUUCCCUGAAGCUCGCAUGAAGACUACAUGUUUGAUAGGGUGGGUGUGUAAGUGCAGUAAUGCACUCAGCUAACCACUACUAAUAGAGCGUUUGGCUUGUUUGG